rnacentral:lncRNA from 1 species
UUCUGAUAGAGAGGGAAGCCAUCGAACGAUGGAACCUCGUACAAGAUUUGAGGCAACGGUAACAAGCAUACACGCAGAGAGGUGGCUAGGCGUAGGCCUGCUUUUACACAGCCAGAUAUACUCCACCCCGGAUAUAUAGCUGCUUGGCAUGCAGGGCUUGCUAUGGUCCUGGCAGUUGCUCAGAAACCAUGAAUCUUGAUAUGUUCCUUCUUCACAAUGCCAGCCUGGAGGACAAAGUACAAGAAGAAUUAGUCAUCUUUCAUGCGUGAUGCAUCUCAUUAUCACCAUAGGUACGAGGCAAGCAAAAUGAUCUCUACCUGGACAAGGAAAUUUGAGACGUUCUUCCUCUGAUCACCCUGGAGUUGAAUGACCUAAACCAGGAAAACAUUUGUUCAGAUAAGUAGCUUAUAGACAUACAAGGUUAAACAACACAUAGUUAUGAUCGAACAAGUUUGGCAAAAACUAUCAUACCUGUCCAAGCUCUGGGUCCUGGACCACUGUACCAUUGCAGCAAAACUCUUUCUUGAGAUCUUUUAGGAUCUUGCUGUAGCUGAAUUCUUUCUUCAAUCCCUGGACAGUAGUCAGACUCUUGCGACCAUUACGCUGCUGGAUGCGUACAUGAACGUAGUCCUUUGAUCCUGCUGCCGCACCAGAGUCCCCAGCAUUGGCCUCAGC